rnacentral:rRNA from 1 species
GAUGAACGCUGGCGGCGUGCCUAAUACAUGCAAGUCGAGCGAACGGAGGAGAAGCUUGCUUCUCUGAUGUUAGUGGCGGACGGGUGAGUAACACGUGGAUAACCUACCUAUAAGACUGGGAUAACCUCGGGAAACCGGAGCUAAUACCGGAUAAUAUUUUGAACCGCAUGGUUCAAAAGUGAAAGACGGUCUUGCCGUCACUGAUAGAUGGAUCCGCGUUGCAUUAGCUAGUUGGUAAGGUAACGGCUUACCAAGGCAACGAUGCGUAGCCGACCUGAGAGGGUGGUCUGCCACGCUGGAACUGAACCGCGGUCCGGACUCCUACGGGAGGCAACGGUAGGGAAUCUUCCGCAAUGGGCGGAGGCCUGACGGGGCAACGCCGCGUGAGUGAUGAAGGUCUUCGGAUCGUGAUACUCUGUUAUUAGGGAAGAACAUAUGUGUAAGUAACUGUGCACAUCUUGACGGUACCUAAUCAGAAAGCCACGGCUAACUACGUG